GCAGAUAGUAGUCGCUGGUAAAGCACGCUUCUGGACAGCAGUCGCGAGAACAUUGGGAGAGGGGCAAAGAAUUAAAAAAAAAAAAAAAAAAAAAAAAAACGGGGGAAACGGAAAAAGAUAACUGAAGAUAGACAGUGGGAGGAGGGGGGAAGAAGUCAAAGCGCGAGAAAAUCGAGAAAAUAUUUGCUAACACGUGCUCGCCGUUUACUCACGUGAAUACGGAAGAAAGAAGCGGUGAGAGAGCGGAGAUUUUUUUUAGCAAAGAGAAGAUGUACCGCGAAAAUGUCGAGCUGAACCCAAUAAAAUGGCCGGACGACGACGAAUGAAAGUGUGACUGGAUGUAUCGCGUGUGACAGUAUAUCGUUGCGUGUUUCGUGUUGUUCCGGUCACAUGGUAGCCAGUGCCCCCUUCUCUUCCUGACCGCGGGGGUUCCUCCGGUGGGCGGUGGGGAUGUCAACCGUGAUUGGGAGGGAUGUAGAAAGGGGAAGUGGAAGACCGUGCCUAGGAUAGAAGAGAAGGAGAUUGAAGAGGAGAUAGAUAGAGGGUGAGAAGGAUGGAGGAAACUCGAAGAGAGGACGUUGCUUCGACGUAAUGAUGAGCAGGACGAUGGACGCGUAAAGCCGCGGUCUGACCGCAAACUCGUUACGCCUGUCGGAAGUAUAAAUCAACCGCAAAGUUAUUCCGCCAUGCUGUCGGGAAUUCCCCGUAGGGCGCCUCGCUGGAAACUGCUACCAUCUUCUCGUCAGAAAUAUCGUUCGCGCAGAAGAUAUCCGGCCAGAUGAUGGAGAACAGCCAAAAAGACGAUAAUCAAGAAGAAAACGCGAAAGGAUAUUCUCAACUUGAAGAAACGAAUUUGUGUUCUUCGCGCAACUUCAGCUUCACUAUCGAGUUUAGCGAAGUAUCUCGCGCGAAUAAUAUAUAAAUGUUCCAACUCACUGUGAGGGAGGGCUCUUAUCUCCCCGCAAAAACUUCGCGAUCCGCAGGCGAUAACUGCGGGGAACUCGUUAAUCCGCCGAUCAAAGUAAUUGGAAUACGUACUUUCGCGCGCUGAUGAAAAACACCGCCAAAAACAUGUCAGCUUCGGAACAUUAAUCAAGAACUGGAUAAAAAGAUAAUAUUAACGCCCCCCCCCCUCCUACAGUGAUCGACAUCAAAGAACCACCCCCUUUCUUCUCCUAGUUUUCAGUGGCGUAUACUCGGAAUUUUCAAACUUUUUUUUUAACAAAACUCGCAAACUAACACAAAAAAAUGCAACA